GCCAAGUUAACUGCCAAGUUACUGAAACGAAGUCCUGACCAUAAUCUAAACAUUCAAUCAAUACUAUUCUUGCUGAAGAAAACAAAAGAUCCAGGCAAACUUUCAGAGUCCAUUCUCCCAAGAGCCAAAGGUGACAAAGCUCCAGUGAUGUGGGUGAUCAUCCUUGUUCCUAACACUUCUUUGUCUUCAAGAGCCCACCUUCUCUCAACCUCCUGGUGCCUCAAUUUCUUCAUCUGCAAGGAAAAAUGACCAAGCUGGACCAUAAAGAUGCUCAGCCGUGGAGGAGGGAGGUAGUCACUGGUGGUGAAGGCUCCAGAGAAGCGGAAGGGGCUCCACUCGGACCUGAGAGGAUGGUAGCGUUUAGAGGGAUGAAAGCUCAAGGAGGAAUUAAGAAGUGAAAGAGACAGCUUGGAAUGAAGAACAAGGCCGGUAAACCAUGCCAACCACUUCGCCUGGGGUUCAACUGAAAGAGUGAUGGUCUCUUCCAUGGCAGGACGAGGAAAACUCAAUGGGAUUGGGCUUUUUUGAGAGCCUGUACACAAAGCAGUGUAUUCUGUACUUUCUGUGGAAUUUAAGGGAAUUUUUCAGGGGCUACUUUUAACUAUAUGACUGAUUUUC
rnacentral:lncRNA from 1 species